GGUGUUAUGAAGUCUUCCAAUAUUGUGUAAUUUAAGUUUUAACAUAAGCUUUAUGUGUUAUCCAAGUAAGAGGGAGUGUGAAAUAUUUCGAUAGCCAAAUUAACAGAAACCAAAAGAUAAAGUAUUGAUCAACCCCAUUCCAAGUUUAGUAAAUUUAUCACAAACUUUUCCCUAGAACUAUCAUAAAUUCUAGGUAUGGCAAUUCGAGGUGGCAGAUUGUGUUCAUGUCGUG
rnacentral:misc_RNA from 1 species